rnacentral:rRNA from 1 species
CCUACGGGGUGCAGCAGUGGGGAAUAUUGGACAAUGGGCGAAAGCCUGAUCCAGCCAUGCCGCGUGUGUGAAGAAGGCCUUCGGGUUGUAAAGCACUUUCAGUGGGGAAGAAAGCCUUGGGGCUAAUACCCUCGAGGAAGGACAUCACCCACAGAAGAAGCACCGGCUAACUCCGUGCCAGCAGCCGCGGUAAUACGGAGGGUGCGAGCGUUAAUCGGAAUUACUGGGGGUAAAGCGCGCGUAGGCGGUCUGAUAAGCCAGUUGUGAAAGCCCCGGGCUCAACCUGGGAACGGCAUCCGGAACUGUCAGGCUAGAGUGCAGGAGAGGAAGGUAGAAUUCCCGGUGUAGCGGUGAAAUGCGUAGAGAUCGGGAGGAAUACCAGUGGCGAAGGCGGCCUUCUGGACUGACACUGACGCUGAGGUGCGAAAGCGUGGGUAGCAAACAGGAUUAGAUACCCCUGUAGUC